AUAUGGCCGCGGCGCGCCGGGGGCUGGCGGGCGCGCUGGUGAAGUGCUGGAAGAGGUCGAAGGGGUUGGCGCCGGCGAGGCGCGGCGUGGCCGGCGGCAGGAGGUCGAACGGGUUCGGCGACGACGGCGCCGUCAGGAACGGGCUGCUGCCCCUCGCCGCCGCUCCCUCGACGGAGCCGAACGGGGUGGCCGGCUCCGGGAGGCGGCCGUGCGGGCUGGACGGCGCCGUGGCGUACGGGCUCGCGGCCGCGCUGUCGGGCCGGUGCGGCGUCGGCGAGGCGGGGCGCAUCAUGACCUCCAUUUCUUGACUUGGCUUCUUGGGCACGGACGGAGAGCUCGCGGUGGCGAUGGGUUUUUAAGCGGAGAGUCGUGGAGAUGGAGGGAAG
rnacentral:lncRNA from 1 species